AGUUGGUGGAGCGAUUUGUCUGGUUAAUUCCGAUAACGAACGAGACUCUAGCCUACUAAAUAGUGGGUGGAUCUUUGGUCCACACUACUUCUUAGAGGGACAAGCGAUGUUUAGUCGCACGAAAUUGAGCAAUAACAGG
rnacentral:rRNA from 1 species